rnacentral:rRNA from 1 species
AAGGGCACCACAAGAACGCGUGGAGCAUGUGGCUUAAUUUGACUCAACGCGGGAAAUCUUACCGGGUCCGGACACACUGAGGAUUGACAGGUAGUUCUAUACUCAUUCACACACGUGUGUUGAGUAUCGUAAAAAUAUGCUAGUCCUUUCAUGAUUAUGUGAUAGGUGGUGCAUGGCCGUUCUUAGUUCGUGGAGUGAUCUGUCUGCUUAAUUGCGUUUCACAUAAGGGGCUAUAAACAAAUUUUACUCCAGAAUUAAUUUGCGUUUCGGCGCAUAUUUUUGUUGUAUAAAUUUUUAGCCUCUGAAAGCAACGAACGUGACCGCGACCUCUUGUUGCUUUCAUUACAUUACACCAAAUAACGAAAGCUUAUUCUUAAAAAUAAACUAGAGGGACCGCUGCUACUUUCUUAAACCAGAGGAAGGUCGCGGCAAUAACAGGUCUGUGAUGCCCUUAGAUGUUCCGGGCUGCACACGUGCUACAAUGAUUAUUGCAGUGAGUAUCUUACACAUUAUACACACUGCUUACUGUUAGUUUGAUCGAUACCUUACGGUUUAGAUCGAGUUAACUGGCGGUAAAUAGCCUACUUCGAAAGUAAGUGGGCAAUCAAUUAGAAGUAAUGAUUUCCUAUUCAAAUAAAAAAUUUAUUUUUUAUGCGAUACAGCACACAGAUAUACGAUUCUCAUACCCGGGUAAUCAUUUAAUGAAUUACUUUUUUUGUGCGUAUGUUUUAGAAUUUCACGUAUGUGCGAUUGUCAAUUCAUGGUGGGGACAGACCAUUGUUUUAAUUGUUGGUCUCGGUCUUAACUAGGAAUGCCUUGUACGGGUCUUUGGUUCAACAAACCACCCGGAAUACGUCCCUGCCCUUUGUACACACCGCCCGUC